GACGAACGCUGGCGGCGUGCUUAACACAUGCAAGUCGAGCGGUAAGGCCCUUUCGGGGGUACACGAGCGGCGAACGGGUGAGUAACACGUGGGUGACCUGCCCUCAGCUCUGGGAUAAGCCUGGGAAACCGGGUCUAAUACUGGAUAUGACUCCAUGACGCAUGUUGUGGGGUGGAAAGCCUUGUGCGGCUGAGGAUGGGCCCGCGGCCUAUCAGCUUGUUGGUGGGGUGANGGCCUACCAAGGCGACGACGGGUAGCCGGCCUGAGAGGGCGACCGGCCACACUGGGACUGAGACACGGCCCAGACUCCUACGGGAGGCAGCAGUGGGGAAUCUUGC
rnacentral:rRNA from 1 species